CGAAUGCUGACAUAAGUAACGAUAAAGCGGGUGAAAAGCCCGCUCGCCGGAAGACCAAGGGUUCCUGUCCAACGUUAAUCGGGGCAGGGUGAGUCGACCCCUAAGGCGAGGCCGAAAGGCGUAGUCGAUGGGAAACAGGUUAAUAUUCCUGUACUUGGUGUUACUGCGAAGGGGGGACGGAGAAGGCUAUGUUGGCCGGGCGACGGUUGUCCCGGUUUAAGCGUGUAGGCUGGUUUUCCAGGCAAAUCCGGAAAAUCAAGGCUGAGGCGUGAUGACGAGGCACUACGGUGCUGAAGCAACAAAUGCCCUGCUUCCAGGAAAAGCCUCUAAGCAUCAGGUAACAUCAAAUCGUACCCCAAACCGACACAGGUGGUCAGGUAGAGAAUACCAAGGCGCUUGAGAGAACUCGGGUGAAGGAACUAGGCAAAAUGGUGCCGUAACUUCGGGAGAAGGCACGCUGAUAUGUAGGUGAAGUCCCUCGCGGAUGGAGCUGAAAUCAGUCGAAGAUACCAGCUGGCU
rnacentral:rRNA from 1 species